rnacentral:lncRNA from 1 species
UGCAGUAAUUUGAGUGUCCAGGCUGGGAUGUUGACUACUUGAGAUCACAUAAAAAAAUUUGAAGCUGAUAUAGUAUGAUGACAACCUGAAUAAUAACAUCUAACAAGUGAAAUUGCAUUGGAACCUGCUACAUUUAUCAGAAGUUCUGGAUGCCAAAUAAUAUGUGGGGAGUAAACACUACUAGGAAAAGGGCUGCGCGUCGGGGACCUCGUCUUCUACUUCCCGCAGGGGCACAUCGAGCAGGUCGGGCACAUCGAGCAGGGAAAUCGCGGAGGAGGCGAAGGAAUAGCAAUCAUGUUCCGGCGGGCUGUCGGUUCCCUCCUACCACGGAGGUUCUCGCCACGUGCGACCCCAAGGACUGCUCCUGUGCGCUUUCUCCACUC